rnacentral:rRNA from 1 species
UACGGAAGGCAGCAGUGGGGAAUAUUGCACAAUGGGCGCAAGCCUGAUGCAGCCAUGCCGCGUGUAUGGAGAAAGGCCUUCGGGUUGUAAAAGUACUUUUCAGUCGUGAGGAAGGUGUUAAGGUUAAUAACCUUAGCAAUUGACGUUAGCGACAGAAGAAGCACCGGCUAACUCCGUGCCAGCAGCCGCGGUAAUACGGAGGGUGCGAGCGUUAAUCGGAAUUACUGGGCGUAAAGGGCACGCAGGCGGUUAAUUAAGUUGGAUGUGAAAUCCCCGGGCUUAACCUGGGAAUGGCAUUCAAGACUGGUUAGCUAGAGUCUUGUAGAGGGGGUAGAAUUCCAUGUGUAGCGGUGAAAUGCGUAGAGAUGUGGAGGAAUACCGGGUGGCGAAGGCGGCCCCUGGGACAAAGACUGACGCUCAUGUGCGAAAGCGUGGGGAGCAAACGAGGAUUAGAUACC